rnacentral:rRNA from 1 species
UACAGAGGUCCCAAGCGUUGUUCGGAUUUACUGGGCGUAAAGGGCGCGCAGGCGGCGGACCAAGUCAGGCGUGAAAGCCCCGGGCUUAACCUGGGAGGUGCGUCUGGGACUGGUAUGCUAGAGUUCGGGAGAGGAGAGUGGAAUUCCCAGUGUAGAGGUGAAAUUCGUAGAUAUUGGGAAGAACACCGGUGGCGAAGGCGGCUCUCUGGACCGAGACUGACGCUGAGGCGCGAAAGCGUGGGGAGCAAACAGG